UACGAAGGGGGCUAGCGUUGCUCGGAAUCACUGGGCGUAAAGCGCGUGUAGGCGGCCCGGUAAGUCCGCUGUGAAAGUCGGGGGCUCAACCCUCGAAUGCCGGUGGAUACUGUCGGGCUAGAGUGCGGAAGAGGCGAGUGGAAUUCCUGGUGUAGCGGUGAAAUGCGCAGAUAUCAGGAGGAACACCAAUUGCGAAGGCAGCUCGCUGGGACGUGACUGACGCUGAGACGCGAAAGCGUGGGGAGCAAACAGG
rnacentral:rRNA from 1 species